GAUGAACGCUGGCGGCGUGCCUAAUACAUGCAAGUCGAGCGAACAGACGAGGAGCUUGCUCCUCUGACGUUAGCGGCGGACGGGUGAGUAACACGUGGAUAACCUACCUAUAAGACUGGGAUAACUUCGGGAAACCGGAGCUAAUACCGGAUAAUAUAUUGAACCGCAUGGUUCAAUAGUGAAAGACGGUUUUGCUGUCACUUAUAGAUGGAUCCGCGCCGCAUUAGCUAGUUGGUAAGGUAACGGCUUACCAAGGCAACGAUGCGUAGCCGACCUGAGAGGGGGAUCGGCCACACUGGAACUGAGACACGUUCCAGACUCCUACGGGAGGCAGCAGUAGGGAAUCUGCCGCAAUGGGCGAAAGCCUGACGGAGCAACGCCGCGUGAGUGAUGAAGGUCUUCGGAUCGUAAAACUCUGUUAUUAGGGAAGAACAAAUGUGUAAGUAACUAUGCACGUCUUGACGGUACCUAAUCAGAAAGCCACGGCUAACUACGU
rnacentral:rRNA from 1 species